GAUGAACGCUGGCGGCGUGCCUAAUACAUGCAAGUCGAGCGAACAGACGAGGAGCUUGCUCCUCUGACGUUAGCGGCGGACGGGAGAGUAACACGUGGAUAACCUACCUAUAAGACUGGGAUAACUUCGGGAAACCGGAGCUAAUACCGGAUAAUAUAUUGAACCGCAUGGUUCAAUAGUGAAAGACGGUUUUGCUGUCAUUUAUAGAUGGAUACGCGCCGCAUUAGCUAGUAGGUAAGGUAACGGCUUACCAAGGCGACGAUGCGUAGCCGACCUGAGAGGGUGGUCAGCCACACUGGGACUGAGACACGGUCCAGGCUCCUACGGGAUGCCGCAGUAGGGAAUCUUCCGCAAUGGGCGAAAGCCUGACGGAGCAACGCCGGGGGAGUGAUGAAGGUCUUCGGAUCGUAAAACUCGGUUAUUAGGGAAGAACAAAUGUGUAAGUAACUAUGCACGUCUUGACGGUACCUAAUCAGAAAGCCACGGCUAACUACGUGC
rnacentral:rRNA from 1 species